AUUGAACGCUGGCGGCAGGCCUAACACAUGCAAGUCGAGCGGAUGGAGGGAGCUUGCUCCUGGAUUCAGCGGCGGACGGGUGAGUAAUGCCUAGGAAUCUGCCUGGUAGUGGGGGAUAACGUCCGGAAACGGGCGCUAAUACCGCAUACGUCCUGAGGGAGAAAGUGGGGGAUCUUCGGACCUCACGCUAUCAGAUGAGCCUAGGUCGGAUUAGCUAGUUGGUGGGGUAAAGGCCUACCAAGGCGACGAUCCGUAACUGGUCUGAGAGGAUGAUCAGUCACACUGGAACUGAGACACGGUCCAGACUCCUACGGGAGGCAGCAGUGGGGAAUAUUGGACAAUGGGCGAAAGCCUGAUCCAGCCAUGCCGCGCGUGUGAAGAAGGUCUUCGGAUUGUAAAGCACUUUAAGUUGGGAGGAAGGGCAGUAAGUUAAUACCUUGCUGUUUUGACGUUACCAACAGAAUAAGCACCGGCUAACUUCGUG
rnacentral:rRNA from 1 species